rnacentral:rRNA from 1 species
GACGAACGCUGGCGGCGUGCUUAACACAUGCAAGUCGAACGAUGAAGCUGGAGCUUGCUCCGGUGGAUUAGUGGCGAACGGGUGAGUAACACGUGAGCAAUCUGCCCUUGACUCUGGGAUAACUGCGGGAAACUGUAGCUAAUACCGGAUACGAGGCUCGAAGGCAUCUUCGGGUCUGGAAAGAAUUUCGGUCAAGGAUGAGCUCACGGCCUAUCAGCUUGUUGGUGAGGUAAUGGCUCACCAAGGCGACGACGGGUAGCCGGCCUGAGAGGGUGACCGGCCACACUGGGACUGAGACACGGCCCAGACUCCUACGGGAGGCAGCAGUGGGGAAUAUUGCACAAUGGGCGAAAGCCUGAUGCAGCAACGUCGCGUGAGGGAUGAAGGCCUUCGGGUUGUAAACCUCUUUAGCAGGGAAGAAGCGAAAGUGACGGUACCCGCAGAAAAAGCACCGGCUAACUACGUGCCAGCCGCCGCCGUAA